GAUGAACGCUGGCGGCGUGCCUAAUACAUGCAAGUCGAGCGAACGGACGAGAAGCUUGCUUCUCUGAUGUUAGCGGCGGACGGGUGAGUAACACGUGGAUAACCUACCUAUAAGACUGGGAUAACUUCGGGAAACCGGAGCUAAUACCGGAUAAUAUUUUGAACCGCAUGGUUCAAAAGUGAAAGACGGUCUUGCUGUCACUUAUAGAUGGAUCCGCGCUGCAUUAGCUAGUUGGUAAGGUAACGGCUUACCAAGGCAACGAUGCAUAGCCGACCUGAGAGGGUGAUCGGCCACACUGGGACUGAGACACGGUCCAGACUCCUACGGGAGGCAGCAGUAGGGACUCUUCCGCAAUGGGCGAAAGCCUGACGGAGCAACGCCGCGUGAGUUAUGAAGGUCUUCGGAUCGUAAAACUCUGUUAUUAGGGAAGAACAUAUGUGUAAGUAACUGUGCACAUCUUGACGGUACCUAAUCAGAAAGCCACGGCUAACUACGUG
rnacentral:rRNA from 1 species